AAUUCUGAGUAAUUGCGGUCUAUUUGACAUAGGCUGAGGAAAGUCCAUGCUCGCACAAGCUGUGAUGCUUGUAGUGUUCGUGCUUAGCGAAACAAUAAGCUAAGGCAAUCAAUUGAUUGACGGCAGAAGAAAUGGCUAAGGGCGAUGUCUAUGCCAGACUAUUCUUGAAAGUGCCACAGUGACGUAGCAAUCUCGGAAACGUGAUUGGUGGAACGCGGUAAACCCCUCGAGCGAGCAACCCAAACUAUAAGGUAGGGGCACUCUUUUUAGGAAUCCAACGAUAAAAGAGACAUAUGAACAUAUGUAGACAGAUAAUUACUGAAGCUAACAAGACCUGAUUGUUAGCGGAACAGAACAUGGCUUAUAGGA
rnacentral:RNase_P_RNA from 1 species